GGGAAAGCAUAAGGGAGAAGGGGAGUCCAUAAAGAAAGAACAAGAAGGUGGCCCUGAAAAAUAAGCAGCCGGAGAACACCAAGCUUAUCGUGGAAUUUCUAAACAAAAUGUUGUCAACACCUGAGAAAAUUGCUGUACUUUACACAUGGAUUCCAUUAUCGGAAUUGGAGAUCCUAGCAAUAGAAAAUCAAGGGGGUGUACUAUAUUGUUGGCCAAAGGUUAAACUUUCAGAGGAGUUUGUCAAUAAUUUGGCCAUGCGGUGUCGAAGUAUUUGCCCAUGAGGUUACACCUUCAAGGGUGACACUGAGGAAGCAUUCAGAUGCAUAGAUAUAAGAG